GCGCGAAACCUCUGCAAUAGGCGAAAGCCUGACAGGGUUACUCUGAGUGAUUUCCGUUAAGGAGAUCUUUUGGCACCUCUAAAAAUGGUGCAGAAUAAGGGGUGGGCAAGUCUGGUGUCAGCCGCCGCGGUAAUACCAGCACCCCGAGUGGUCGGGACGUUUAUUGGGCCUAAAGCAUCCGUAGCCGGUUCUACGAGUCUUCCGUUAAAUCCACCUGCUCAACAGAUGGGCUGCGGAAGAUACUAUAGAGCUAGGAGGCGGGAGAGGCAAGCGGUACUCGAUGGGUAGGGGUAAAAUCCGUUGAUCCAUUGAAGACCACCAGUGGCGAAGGCGGCUUGCCAGAACGCGCUCGACGGUGAGGGAUGAAAGCUGGGGGAGCAAACCGGAUUAGAUACCCGGGUAGUCCCAGCUGUAAACGAUGCAGACUCGGUGAUGAAUUGGCUUUAUGCCAAUUCAGUGCCGCAGGGAAGCCGUUAAGUU
rnacentral:rRNA from 1 species